rnacentral:rRNA from 1 species
GACGAACGCUGGCGGCGUGCUUAACACAUGCAAGUCACGGGGGCCCGCAAGGGCAACCGGCGAACGGGUGCGUAACACGUGAGCAACCUACCGAUUUGUGGGGGAUAGCCGGCCCAACGGCCGGGUAAUACCGCAUACGCUCGUUGAGGGACAUCCCUUGGCGAGGAAACCUCCGGGGCAAAUCGAGGGGCUCGCGGCCUAUCAGCUAGUUGGCGGGGUCACGGCCCACCAAGGCGAUGACGGGUAGCUGGCUGAGAGGAUGGCCAGCCACAUUGGGACUGAGAAACGGCCCAGACUCCUACGGGAGGCAGCAGUGGGGAAUCUUGCGCAAUGGCCGAAAGGCUGACGCAGCGACGCCGCGUGUGGGAGGAAGCCCUU